rnacentral:rRNA from 1 species
CUGGCGGCGUGCCUAAUACAUGCAAGUCGAGCGGACAGAUGGGAGCUUGCUCCCUGAUGUUAGCGGCGGACGGGUGAGUAACACGUGGGUAACCUGCCUGUAAGACUGGGAUAACUCCGGGAAACCGGGGCUAAUACCGGAUGGUUGUUUGAACCGCAUGGUUCAAACAUAAAAGGUGGCUUCGGCUACCACUUACAGAUGGACCCGCGGCGCAUUAGCUAGUUGGUGAGGUAACGGCUCACCAAGGCGACGAUGCGUAGCCGACCUGAGAGGGUGAUCGGCCACACUGGGACUGAGACACGGCCCAGACUCCUACGGGAGGCAGCAGUAGGGAAUCUUCCGCAAUGGACGAAAGUCUGACGGAGCAACGCCGCGUGAGUGAUGAAGGUUUUCGGAUCGUAAAGCUCUGUUGUUAGGGAAGAACAAGUACCGUUCGAAUAGGGCGGUACCUUGACGGUACCUAACCAGAAAGCCACGGCUAACUACGUGCCAGCAGCCGCGGUAAUACGUAGGUGGCAAGCGUUGUCCGGAAUUAUUGGGCGUAAAGGGCUCGCAGGCGGUUUCUUAAGUCUGAUGUGAAAGCCCCCGGCUCAACCGGGGAGGGUCAUUGGAAACUGGGGAACUUGAGUGCAGAAGAGGAGAGUGGAAUUCCACGUGUAGCGGUGAAAUGCGUAGAGAUGUGGAGGAACACCAGUGGCGAAGGCGACUCUCUGGUCUGUAACUGACGCUGAGGAGCGAAAGCGUGGGGAGCGAACAGGAUUAGAUACCCUGGUAGUCCACGCCGUAAACGAUGAGUGCUAAGUGUUAGGGGGUUUCCGCCCCUUAGUGCUGCAGCUAACGCAUUAAGCACUCCGCCUGGGGAGUACGGUCGCAAGACUGAAACUCAAAGGAAUUGACGGGGGCCCGCACAAGCGGUGGAGCAUGUGGUUUAAUUCGAAGCAACGCGAAGAACCUUACCAGGUCUUGACAUCCUCUGACAAUCCUAGAGAUAGGACGUCCCCUUCGGGGGCAGAGUGACAGGUGGUGCAUGGUUGUCGUCAGCUCGUGUCGUGAGAUGUUGGGUUAAGUCCCGCAACGAGCGCAACCCUUGAUCUUAGUUGCCAGCAUUCAGUUGGGCACUCUAAGGUGACUGCCGGUGACAAACCGGAGGAAGGUGGGGAUGACGUCAAAUCAUCAUGCCCCUUAUGACCUGGGCU